UUGAUUUUGUGGGUCUUGGACUAAAGCAGUAAGCUUUCUUGAAGCAAAACACACAUUGAUGAAAGAAAUCAAUAGAAAGAGUUUUAAAAUGAAAUGGGUCGAUUUCAAACCGAAGGAAGAAGACAUUGUUUUUUCUUUUAGGUACUUAGUAUAUGUUUUUGAAGGCUAUAGUGAGAAACUAAUGCUUUGAUGGAAGUUUUGUGUGUUGUACGUAGCUUGGAUGAAAUGCAAGGGAAGAGAGGAGGGCUAUUUAUACAACAGGGAGAGGGUGUACCGUUUGUAAUGAAGCUGCUGAGAAAGCAGGAAGGGAAUGUGGAAUAGUAGAAAAGUGACUUUAAAAAAAGCGCGUUAUCAUUUUCACUAACUGGAGCUAGCUGCUAUGCAACACAAGAGAGGUAAUCUUUACUGCUUGACUUAUGGGUUACUAUUCUCGCGGCUCAUCAUUGACUUCACUGAACUAGUUUCUUGACAGAAGAUUAGAGCAAAACAAAACAAUGUACUUAUGCUAAUUUGACCCUUCAGAUCCAAAUCCUCCUCUGCCGAGCUAUGUGCCUGAAGGUUCUUUUAUUGUCAGAGCACAUACACCCAUGUCAAAUCUGUUUUCUUGCCUCUGGUUCAAUGAAGUUGACCGAUUUACUUCACGUGACCAACUAAGCUUCGCGUAUACAUUCCUAAAACUGAAGAGAAUGAAUCCAGACAAACCAUUCCAUUUAAAUAUGUUUAAGGAUUGUGAGCGUAGGUCACUGGUGAAGUUAUUUCAUCACAUAGAGCCAUCCUCUCCACCUCCUCCAAGAAUAAGUUGAUAUUCUUCAUUUUUUACAUGGACUUGGUAAACUGAACCUCUUGCUCAUCCCACUUGAACUAAUUUUCAGUUUGAAGAUGAACUGAUGCAUUUCAUUGACAACUAGAUAUUAUACAUAUUAGGAUGCGGAAUUAGUUCAGGCUCUACUGAGUAGGUGAUAGAACUUCCAUUGAAUACCUUUGGUUUGUCAUUUUGGCCCCAGAGAAUGGGCACUAACUCACUGAUCUGCCUUUGAGCCACCCUCUUCAUGUGAUUGAGGAAGGAGUAGUAAGCUCGUGAGGUGUCACUGCAGCUUGAGUUAUCAUUACUGUUGGAUAUUUUCUGAGACUACUUGUGGGUUCAGAUCCUAACAAGUUCUGCAGAGGCUUGUAAAAAUGUAUUUAACUGUAGUAGAGACUCCACUGAGGAGCGCGGACCAUCUCAUCUGAAACUCUUGUACAAUCUUUAAUCAAUUUAAGUUAUAGGUUCGAUUUUUAAUCAA